rnacentral:sRNA from 1 species
UUCCCAAGGCCGAGAUCACCGCAGAGGGCUGAAUGGUGGAAUAACGCCCCUGAACUCCAUCUCACCUUUGAAGAAAAAUUUCGCAAGCAAUCAUAUUCAGCUCCAGAAGUAUGCUCGCCCCAGCUCUGCCUUUGCACCUAAAUCCUGGAUGGAAGAUAGCUUGAACAGGGCUGACAACAUUUUUCCUUUUCCGGUCUGAACAGCCUGAAUUGAUGGACUUGGCAAUUCCUCUUAAACCUCUGCAAAUUUUGGCCUACCUUUCAUCAGUAACGACUAUCUAGUGAGAGAAAUGAUCUAAAUGUUUUCUUCAUCCCCUUUUAUUUUUGAACACUAUGAAACUGUUCAUCUCAGAGUGACUCUUUAUGCCUUUCACCUAUUUGUUUAUUUUCCAAUGUUAACAUUGGAGGUGUAGAUAAUUAAACCAUUCCU